rnacentral:rRNA from 1 species
UACGUAGGGGGCAAGCGUUGUCCGGAUUUAUUGGGCGUAAAGAGCGUGUAGGCGGCUAGAUAGGUCCGUUGUGAAAACUCGAGGCUCAACCUCGAGACGUCGAUGGAAACCAUCUGGCUAGAGUCCGGAAGAGGAGAGUGGAAUUCCUGGUGUAGCGGUGAAAUGCGCAGAUAUCAGGAAGAACACCCGUGGCGAAGGCGGCUCUCUGGUACGUGACUGACGCUGAGACGCGAAAGCGUGGGAAGCAAACAGG